rnacentral:rRNA from 1 species
UACAGAGGGUGCAAGCGUUGCUCGGAAUUAUUGGGCGUAAAGGGUAGGUAGGUGGUCUCAUUUGUCCGGGGUGAAAGCCUUGAGCUUAACUCAAGAAGUGCCUCGGAAACGGUGAGACUGGAGUCCUGGAGAGGGUCGUGGAAUUCCCGGUGUAGCGGUGAAAUGCGUAGAGAUCGGGAGGAACACCAGAGGCGAAGGCGGCGACCUGGACAGGUACUGACGCUGAGACGCGAAAGCGUGGGGAGCGAACAGG